rnacentral:lncRNA from 1 species
UAUGGCUUAAAGGAAACCACUUGGAAACUUAUGAACCUUUACAAGACCGUCUUACUGAUGAUGGUGUCUAUCUGCAGUAGAUUUCUUUUCUUGUCACUCCAUGGCAUGAAGCUUCGGAUGUGCUUAUGAUCUCACUCUCAUCAGAACCACUGGCUUGGCUUGGAAGCCCGCAAGGACACUCCUUGGCUCUGUGCCACAAACAACAAUGCUAUCAAUCUCGUUCCAGACCUGUCUGGGUGAUACUUAUCAAAUAGUUCUUCGAAGAGUUCUUGCCUGUUCUAGGAUACGCAUCCACACCCCUGUGUGAGGCACCAAGACUGAGUACGGCUGGACCCACAUUGCUGCUGGUCCCGUUAACUCUAUUCAACUCUGUUUCAGAGACUGAUUUUAAACCCCCCGGGAUUGGCAUAAGCUUUUUCACUUAGGGGUUAUAUAGACCUACAAGGCUGUGCUGGUGCCAUUUUGCCAGAACUCGUGCUUGUUAAACAUUUUCCUGUAGAUCAAAUUCAAAGGGAUUCAAGAGUGCCAUUCAACCUUGCAGUAAUGGGCAAAGAAUAGGGAAAAAAAGAGAGACUGAAUGGAGGAUCUGAGUCUAAGGAGGAAACCGCUCAGUACAGGUCAAACAGAGAAUUGCUGCAUGUCCUGCAAAUAUUUGCUGUGAUGGUACAUGGGGGAGAUAUGAAAACAAUCUGAAAAUCUGAGGGAUUGCCAUCUUCAGAAGAAGGGGAAUCAGAGUGCAGACUGAACAAUCCCAGUGCCCUCAGCCACUCCUCAUAGGACUUGUGCUCCACAUCCUUCAUCAGCUUUGUUGCCCUUCUCUGGACGCAAAGAAAGUCCAUUAAAGCCCACCCAUUACCUUCACUUCCUAGAGGGUAAGAAAGAAAGGUAGAAAACAUGGCUUUUCUGCUCCUUCCUCACCUUCUAACAUCUGUGGCUACAGACAGCCCUGAAAGUGUGGAGAAGCAGAAUUCAUCACAAAUAACAGGUAAGUAAAGUACUUGCAUCUAUAAUUGGGUAGUCAGGUAUCUGGCUUUGCUUUUACUGAAGUUCAAUAGACACUGAAAGAAAAGGCAUUUUAACGUUCAGGAUGCAUGGGUUAUCCCACUGGAGGCCCAUUCUCUGUGCCUAAGUGUGUUUCAUAUCAGGCCCUGCAGAACUUGCAGCUGACUGGUCUCAAGUGGAUGUGGGCUUCUAAGCACAGAUCACUUCUGAAAUGAGAGCUCUGGCAACUCUUCCCUUGGAGUAUUUCAUGUGUUCUGUUCCAAUGUGUCUUCAGGCCUUGCCAAGCUUUUUCUGUGAGUUUGUAACUAUACUGAAAAUACGAAAGAGUUCACUCUCAACAAAAUUUGGUAGGUAACUUUUAUCCUAGUUUGAACUGAGCAUAUGGCUUUCUCUCUGUAGCUGUUUAAUUGCUUCCUUCUUGUUUCAUGACAACCAAUUGGCUCAUAACUCUCUUUUCCCUGUGUGAAGUGGGACCUGCGAGCAGUGUAUCAUUCUGCUGUGCACACCCUCUAGACAUGCUGCUGUAAACAGGUACCUCUAUAGUGCAGAUUUUCUUCAGACAUCUAGUUGCUAUAGUGGUGAAAAAGAGAAUACUGACUGCAGACUAUUAAGGUCUUCCUUGCUUCAGGCUAGCAAGAGCUGACAUUGUGUUUGAGGUGGUUAUUGCUGCCAGCCCUUCUCCUAACUCCUGGUGGAUGAAAAACUUAGCAUGAGCCAGCAGUGUGCUCUUGCAGCUUGGAAAGCAAAUGGUAGUCUGGGCUCCAGCAGAUGAGGGGUGGCCAGCAGGGGCAGGGAGGUGAUUGUUCCUCUCUACUCUGCCCUCAUGAAGCCCCAUCUGGAGUACUGCAUCCAGUUCUGGGGCCUCAAAUACAAGAAAGACAGGGAGCUGUUGGAGGGGGUCCACAGGAGGACCACAAAGAUGAUUAGAGGGCUGCAGCACCUCCCUAUGAAGACAGGCUGAAGGAGCUAGGCUUGUUCAGCCUGGAGAAGAGAAGGCUUCAGGGUGACCUCAUUGCAGCUUUCCAGUCUACAAACAGGAGGGGAGUCAACUCUUUGAAAGCGUAGAUAACAUCAGGACUAGGGGAAAUGGUUUUAAGUUGAGGGAAGGAAGAUUUAGGUUGUAUGUCAGGGGGAAGUUCUUUACCAAGAGAGUGGUGAGGUGCUGGAACAGGUUGCCCAGAGAGGCUGUGGAUGCCCCAACCCUGGAGGUGUUCAAGGCCAGGUUGGAUUGGGCCCUGGGCAGCCUGGUCUAGUAUUAGAAAUAGAGGUUGGUGGCCCUACAUGCAGCAGGGGGUUGGAGCUUGAUGAUCUUUAUGAUCUUUCCAACCCAAGUCAUUCUGUGAUUCAAUGAAUUUAGCUGCUAGCUCUGAUCUACUCACUUCCUAGACACUUUACUACAGCAGAGUCCUGCAGCUAUGAAAAUUUGGGAACAGUUAGGUGAAAUGACCUUUUUCUCAUUCUACAGAGUACUUGUCUGUGAGCACGCCUGUGGAAGGCUUCUAUGUGUUGCACAGCAGUGCCACUUACCACUAGAUGGCUGGACCUCCUCUUUGUCCUGCUCUCAGUUUUCUCAAGCUGACAAUGCUUAAAGCAGAACAAUGGACUUUUUGUAAACUCUCUUGCCGCUCCCUUUAUAACUUAUCAUUUCUAGCAGUGCAUGCUUUUAGCAAAUUUACUUUUAAGAUGAAUAGAUGAAACGAACUUUUCAAACAUACUGAGAGCUGUGUUUAUUUCUAAGAAAGUGAUGAACAUUAUGUAAGGCAAAAACAAAGAAGAAAAACCUCCCUAUUGCUGUUCUUUUUGCAUUCCACAAAUAACAACACAAAUUUCACAGUCUUUUAUUUCACAGGUGCAUGCAUGAGUGUGACACAUUCUUCAGUUAAUCUUUCAGACUAGGAUAGAGCAUGAUAAACUCCUGAGAAGUCAUGACAUAGCCACAUAUCUUAGUCUGGUGAAUUUGAUGAGGCACCAUUUGCAAAGCUUUGAGAUAUGUGACUUAUGGUCAUUCUGAUUCUGUUCAGGAGGGAUAUUUCUGUCCCAAAAUAGCUUUCCUUGCCCAAAUAAAAAAUAUUUUACUUACAGUCAGUUUCUUCUAAGAAGUUAAUACUUCUGGGUGGAAAAACACCAACUUCCCUGAGGACUGCAGACUGAUACAAUACACAGAGCAAGCAGGACUACCCUGAAAGGGAUAUAAGACAAAAAGAUAAAGUAUACAUCUGCAGCAUGGCUUUAUGAUUUUUGUCAUUAGUAUUUCACAUCACAACAUCAUGUAAUGCACUGGGAGUUAAUGUUAAGCUAAUGCUCCAGUUCUGUGGAUUGUUGAUAUUUCCAGGUACCUGGUCUCAGAGGAGAAGAACUACAUCUCCCAGAAGAUGUUCACUGUUCCCUUUCUGUUACAUUUUAAAAUCAGAGAGAUACAUUUUAAAACUAAGAUUCCUUUAGUUGUUUUGCUAUUACGUUGUGCAUUGCCAACUUGCAGAAGCAAGGACAGACAGUCCCUGCCUCUGCUCUAAGGGACUGAUACAUCAAACUUGGAAAUGUUGGGGCUCUUCAACAAUUAUGAGAAAGGCUAAGGAAGAUGGACUUAAAGAUAGGUGGUACAUGAAAAAGUAAGGUGGAGAUGGAUCCAGAAGUACAUCUGGGGUAGGAUUUCUUCUCUUUUUCCAAAUACUGGUUCAGGUUUCAGUCACUUGCAGUUCAAUUUCCUUGGAAGACUAUAACAGCAAAAUAGCUGAUGGUAUAAUUACUGCAGUAAAGAGAAGCAGGAAAUUAAAAUGAACUCCACCCAUACCAACGCAGAGAUUAACAGAGAGAAGCAUACAGCAAGCUACAAGACUAUGAAAAACAAGACUUUUCAAAGGCAACUGAAACCUGACAAGAAUAUCGAUGGCUCCUUUUUUUACCUCAUGCACUUGAAUGUUUCUGAUCUUGUAAAUGUAAUGAGAGAAUAAAAAAUGCCUGGGAUUUUCUACUUAUUAGAUUUGCAAGCAAAUAAACUACAUAUUUUCCUGAAGCAUCUUCACUUUAAAGGUGUCCAAAGGGUAAUGUGUGCAGGCUGUUUAUUAUAAAGUGUUAACUUUGAAAAUAUUCUAGGAACAAAAUCUGGCUUAAGACUCUCAAAAUACUGCAGUUCCCAAGUAAGUAUGGGAAUCAUGUGGCUAGCCUGAGCCCUAUCUUUUGCUGCUCAAUCCUGUCACAAACAGUAUGCUACCACUGAGAAUACAGCACUAUCUGCCAAAGAUGUAGCAUU